rnacentral:rRNA from 1 species
GUACACUCCUACGGGAGGCAGCAGUGGGGAAUUUUGGACAAUGGGCGAAAGCCUGAUCCAGCCAUGCCGCGUGCAGGAUGAAGGCCUUCGGGUUGUAAACUGCUUUUGUACGGAACGAAACGGCCUUUUCUAAUAAAGAGGGCUAAUGACGGUACCGUAAGAAUAAGCACCGGCUAACUACGUGCCAGCAGCCGCGGUAAUACGUAGGGUGCAAGCGUUAAUCGGAAUUACUGGGCGUAAAGCGUGCGCAGGCGGUUAUGUAAGACAGUUGUGAAAUCCCCGGGCUCAACCUGGGAACUGCAUCUGUGACUGCAUAGCUAGAGUACGGUAGAGGGGGAUGGAAUUCCGCGUGUAGCAGUGAAAUGCGUAGAUAUGCGGAGGAACACCGAUGGCGAAGGCAAUCCCCUGGACCUGUACUGACGCUCAUGCACGAAAGCGUGGGGAGCAAACAGGAUUAGAUACCCGGGUAGUCCCA